UUUCUAACGAUAAUCAGGCUUCAAGGGUCUUACAGAUGGAGAGAAACAGCCUUGAGCACCUAUUGCUUCAUUUUUGUGGAGUAACAGCAAAGAAGGAGUAUCAAAAUGCAGACUGGAGGUCGAGACCACUUCCUGAUGAAAUGAUCAAGUAUGCUAGAGAAGAUACACACUAUCUGCUGUACAUAUAUGACUUAAUGAGACAGGCCCU